AUGUAUUUCAGUUUCAUGUUAGCCGGACUUCAUAUUGGGAAAGAGUUUUCAUUGCUGUUUUCUCCAAGUAUUAAAAUGCGAGUAUCUGUCACACAGGAAUUUACAGAGGAUGAAAAUGAGAAUGGAGAAGAAGAAAGGGUCUUCCUCAAGCCUGUUAUUGAGGACAGAAACAUGGAGCUGGCCCGAAAAUGCAGUGAAAUAAUAAGUGAUGUAAGUGACAGUGAUAGUUUGCAUGCUUAUAUUUGCAUUUCUCUUUUCAGUGGUUUUAUUUUUACCACAUAUAUACAUUUACAGUCCAUAUUUACUCAGAAAUGUGUCAUGCAGCAUAUGCCCAUCCAAGGCUCAAAUAUAAGGCACAAAUAAUAGAAAAGCACAGCAUGCUCUGAUGCCUUGAAUUAUUAUUAACUGUGGAAGGAUAAGUUUUUUGGAGCACUUAAGCUGUAUGAAGCAUACGCCUAGGAAGAAGUUUCAAAAGUUGGGUCUCAUGCAGAGGAUGAUUCCCAUGAGAACACUUUGGCUGAUCUCACCAGUAAAAUGCAAUAUUUUUGCCAAUUGCUGCUCAAUUCUAUGAAGUUUGGUUAGUUAAAAUAGAAUUGGAUUCUGUAGUUACAUAGCUGUAAAGAGAAGAUAAAAAUAAACAGAUGAACUUUGGUUAUUGUCUAUUAGUCUUUGGUGAUGGAAGCUCAAAUCUGGGUAACAUAUUGUUAGUGACUUGCAGUUAUGGGAAAAACCCACUGAAAUGAUAGGGUAAAGUGAGUCUGAAUGAGCUUUUCCCUUUCAUAUGAACUGCAAUUGGAAUUAUUGUUCUAUACAGCAUGUUGAGGAUGGUGGCAACUGAGAAAACAUCAGUGGAGAGAGACGUUUUUUCACAACUAUUCUCCUAAUGAAACUGAAAUUGGGGACUGUUUCAUAAUGUGUUAUAAUAUUACCACAGCACAUGUUGCAUUAAUACAAGGUUCAGGAUGUUAUUGUUCAAGGUUAAUGAUAUUUUGAGAAUAGGGCGUACAGAAUCUAUGUUUUAAAUGAUGAGAGGAUAUGUAUCAGAAAAAAAUAUGAUAAACAGUACCUUGGGGAUGUAGGUUUUACAGUGCUGGCUCAAAAGUGUGACUUGACAAAUAAAAAGCUCUCUCUUUGUACAUGGACCAUCUAGUAGUACUUUAAUUUUCACAAGAAGAUUGCUGAAAAUUAGAAAGAUCCUUAAAAGAAGCUACUAUGAUGGCUCCUUUGUAAUCUCAAGCUAUUUUAGGAAGUGGUAGAGAUUAUUACUAUUUUUACUGAUGGCUGUCUACAAGUUUUCUGUGGGAAAUGGACAGCAUCUGACAUAAAACAUGGGAAGGCCAAAUAAAAAUGGAGAUGGAAUAUCAGUCUGACCCAAAAUAUUUCUUGUUUCUGUGCAGUUUUUCUAAACAUGGUUGCUGUUCUGCAAGGCAAAAACUCCUUGAAAAAUGUUAAAGAAAUAUUUGUUUUCAUUGAAAGAAAUGACUACUGUGCUGUGUACCCAUUAGUGGUAAUGUUGGUGGUAACUGUUAGACACUACAUUUAGCAGUUGUAUUUUUUCUAAAUUUUUGCAGGGUCUUGGGGAAAGCGAGUAAUUAAGUUAAGCCAGGUUCCUGUAACAUGUAACAGUGUAGAGAUGUGGUCUUUUGCUGAGAGCUUGUCUUACAUUUAGCCUGCAAAUACUUUUGAUUUUCAUUGAGAUAUGUGAAACAUAAUGGCAAUGUGUCAUUAAUACUUUCAAGACUGUAGUAAUAAGUAAUGAUCCAGAACAAAUUUAAUUUCAAAGAUGAUGUUCUUUGUUUAAAAAAUGACACUCAUUUUGGGGGCUUUAUUCAGCCUUUGCUGAAGUCAGUAGUUGUGUUCUGAUUGGCUUGGAUGGAAUGUGUGUAUGCUUAGGGAAUGAACUGGAAUUUCUUGUGACCAGUAAUGUUCUGUAGUAGGUUCUUCACCUUGCACACUUCACUGAGGAGCCCAAUCAGCUGCAAGGAAUUUACAUUUUGACACAAUAAUGUUCAAAACUUUUAAUAUAUUCUUCAUGCUUA
ensembl:lncRNA